rnacentral:sRNA from 1 species
AGCAGCCGCGGUAAUUCCAGCUCCAAUAGCGUAUAUUAAAGUUGUUGCAGUUAAAAAAGCUCGUAGUUGAAUUUUGGAUUCUGCCAGUUGGUCCAUCUUUUGAUGAGUACUGAUUGUGUGGGGUCCAUCCGCCUGGUGAUACGUGAUGUACUUUAUUGUAUGUUACGGGUAGUCAGGACCUUUACCUUGAAAAAAAUUAGAGUGUUUAAAGCAGGCUUAUGCCGGAAUACAUUAGCAUGGAAUAAUAGAAUAGGACGAUGUUGUUUUAUUUUGUUGGUUUCUAGGACAACCGUAAUGAUUAAUAGGGAUAGUUGGGGGCAUUAGUAUUCAAUUGUCAGAGGUGAAAUUCUUGGAUUUAUUGAAGACUAACUACUGCGAAAGCAUUUGCCAAGGAUGUUUUCAUUAAUCAAGAACGAAAGUUAGGGGAUCGAAGACGAUCAGAUACCGUCGUAGUCUUAACCAUAAACUAU